rnacentral:lncRNA from 1 species
UUCGGCUUUAUGCUGGCGUUCGGCCUUGUGCCGCUGAGUGGUCAGCCACGAUCGCUCGCGAGCAGCGCGUGGUGGUCACCAGCGUCACCUUCUCCAAGCCCUCCAUGAAGGAGGCAGUGGGAGGGAGACACAUCUGGUGACAGCCCUCCAAAUAAGCUCGCGGUGGAGUUGAUGCUAGGUGUGGUAGAGAUCUGGCCAUCUCUUUCUUGCCGUCAAGGAGAUGGAGGUGGAAGAGGCGCGAGAUCCUAGCUUGUCCUUCAUCGAUGUUGCCUUUUUUGUUCCCUGCGUUGGAGGUACUCCGCUCCUUCUAUCGCUUCUUAGGUCGCCAUGGUGGAGAAUGGGAAACUGGGGAGAGAUGGAGGUCGAGAUUGGGUUGGUGCUCAUCCACGGUGGUUGUUCGUGAGUGGCUACGGUGCUUGGCUGUCGGCCGUCACCAGGGAAGACACCAGUUGGGGUUCACGAGUCGAAAAUGGAAUCCCGGCUCGGUCCUUCUUCCAGGGACGACACGAGUUGGGGUUCUCUUUGUAAAAGUCAAGGACCAGUUGGUAAUUUAGGUUUACUUGUGGGUCCUUUUGUAAUGUGUUGUGUACCAUCGUUUCCUCCAUAUUAAUGCAGCUUGGGUCCUGUCUUGUCAAAAAAAUGUGAUAGGUUUUUUUUUGAGACAAAAAAAAAAAACAAACAAAAAAUGUGCUAGGUAGUGACCCAGCUGUCCUAAUGGGCUGCAGCUCUAGAGGCCGAAACCAACGGAUCUAGUAAAAUGGGCCCGUUUGGCUGUGAAUUGUUAAUAAUUUGUUAGAUGUCGAAUGAACGAACGACUGCGAUUCUGCUUGCAGAAAUGAGAGUGAAACGAG